rnacentral:rRNA from 1 species
GGUGGUAGCGAUUAGUCAAUGCUGUGUCUUUUUGCAUGCGUGUUGUACUAAAUCCAAUGUCUACCAUCAUCCUUGUAGUGAAUGUAUCUGGCAUUUAGUUGUUGGAUAUAGGAGCUGCAUCGUUUACUGUGAAAAAAUUAGAGUGUUUAAAGCAGGCUUAUGCCGUGAAUACAUUAGCAUGGAAUGAUAACAUAGGACUUUGGUGCUAUUUUAUUGGUUUGCACAUUGAAGUA